rnacentral:rRNA from 1 species
UUGAACGCUGGCGGCAUGCCUUACACAUGCAAGUCGAGCGGCAGCGCGGGGGCAACCCUGGCGGCGAGCGGCGAACGGGUGAGUAAUACAUUGGAACGUGUCCAGUAGCGGGGGAUAACCUGUCGAAAGAUAGGCUAAUACCGCAUACGAUCUACGGAUGAAAGCGGGGGACCGCAAGGCCUCGCACUGUUGGAGCGGCCGAUGUCGGAUUAGCUAGUUGGCGGGGUAAAAGCCCACCAAGGCGACGAUCCGUAGCUGGUCUGAGAGGACGACCAGCCACACUGGAACUGAGACACGGUCCAGACUCCUACGGGAGGCAGCAGUGGGGAAUUUUGGACAAUGGGCGCAAGCCUGAUCCAGCCAUGCCGCGUGAGUGAAGAAGGCCUUCGGGUUGUAAAGCUCUUUCGGCGGGGACGAAACGGUUCGUGCUAACAACGCGAACUAAUGACAGUACUCGCAGAAGAAGCACCGGCUAACUACGU